UACGUAGGCAGCGAGCGUUGUUCGGAGUUACUGGGCGUAAAGAGUGCGUAGGCGGUUUUCUAAGUUUGGUGUGAAAUCUCCCGGCUUAACUGGGAGGGUGCGCCGAAGACUGGAAGGCUUGAGUAUGGGAGAGGAAAGCGGAAUUCCUGGUGUAGCGGUGAAAUGCGUAGAUAUCGGAAGGAACACCAGUGGCGAAGGCGACUUCCUGGCCUGCAACUGACACUGAGGCACGAAAGCGUGGGGAGCAAACAGG
rnacentral:rRNA from 1 species